UGUGAUGAAGUGGGAAAUGACCUGGUGA
rnacentral:piRNA from 1 species